AUUGAACGCUAGCGGGAUGCCUUACACAUGAAAGUCGAACGGAGUGGCGAACGGGUGAGUAAUGUAUCUGAACGUGCCCAGUAGCGGGGGAUAACUAAGCGAAAGCGUAGCUAAUACAGCAUACUAUGGGAGCGGCCGAUCUGGGACUAGCUAGUUGGUGGGGUAACGGCUCACCAAGGCGACGAUCCGUAGCGGGUUUGAGAGGAAGACCAGCAACACUGGGACUUAGACACGGCCCAGACUCCUACGGGAGGCAGCAGUGGGGAAUUUUGGACAAUGGGGGAAACCCUGAUCCAGCCAUCCCGCGUGUGUGAUGAAGGCCUUCGGGUUGUAAAGCACUUUUGGCAGGAAAGCGGUACCUGCAGAAUAAGCACCGGCUAACUACGUGCCAGCAGCCGCGGUAAUUC
rnacentral:rRNA from 1 species